AUGGUGGUUCGGGCGGCGGGAAGAGGCUGCGCUGGGGUCCGGGGUCUCUCGCACUUCGCUUCCCCGCUCCUGGCCCCGAGGAGUGGCCGCCGCGGGGGAUGCUCGAACUCCCUCCUCUGGGAGGCGCAGGAGACGGCCGCGGGGCGCGGGCGGUGCCUGGGCGACUGGGUCCAACUGGGUGCUACAGAGCCUCGAGCUCCGCUGCGAAGCGCCCGGCUGCCUCGCUCGCCGCCCGCACCUCGGUUCCCCACAGGCCUCCCCCGCCUCCGCCUGGGCCUUCGGGGAUUGGCCGCCGGGCCCGACCAAUGGAGGGCCGCCUCCUCCCGCCUCUGCGCCGAGGGGCGGUGCGGCCAAUUGAAGGGCCGCGGGGGCCGCUUUCCCUCCCGCUCCCUCCCCGCGAGGUCCCCGGCCCCCGCCCCAGCCCUCACGCCACCGGGGCCGGCGGCUAGGCGGCCCCGCCCCCGGGCUAGGCAGGGCGCCUGGGGGCUUCCCAGCCACAAGCCAUUCACGUCAACCUCCAGGCAUCCUCCGCGGCGGGCCGGGCCGGGCCGGCGGAGGGGAGCGGAAGCCCACCGGGGCUGGCCCGCCGCUGACCCGCCGCCUCCGCCUGCCUCCUCCCGGGCUCUGGGCCCAGCGCGCCCAGAUGCCGGGCAGGACCCCUCCGCCCGCUGCUGGAACACCAAUAGCAGCCUUGGAGCCUCUGGGCCGGAGGAACGGGGGCCUCCACCGACACCUGCUUCUUCCCUCACCUCGCAGCCUUCCACACCUGUUGAUCUGACCUCUGCCCCGCUGCCGCCAAGGAGUAACCUAAGGCUUUUGGCCUGAUUCGAGCUCACUCCGUCUAAACCUCUAAAUGCGGUGCGAAAAAAUCCUGGGGAAUGUGCCAUGCAAAGCCUGGGCAUUUCAGGUGCUUUUCUGGAUUCUCAUCAACUCCUCUUUACAGGCAUCUUUAUCCGGAAUUCAGCUCGUCCCAAACCCCACGUGGUGUAGCUCUGCUUGUGUUUUUGAAUCCCGGGGCCUCUUUGAAUCAGAAGCCCUUUGUAUAGAGAUAAGUAUCCUUUAGGCCAGAAUCAGCCUCCAUUUUUUUCGCAGUCCCAUUUCCUACCCUUAAUACUUUCUUCUGAUUUUAAAGCCAUUUGAUAGAGAAGGGACAGGGAACAGAACCUUCGCCCCCCGCCUGAGCAGCUGGUAGACUAGAUAUCUUCCAAACAUUAUCUCAUUUACUUCCCUGGAGUUACAAAUAGGUAGAUUUCAUGUCCGUUGAGGGGUGAGAAAGCUGAAACUUUGAGACUUAAGAAUCCUGGCCGAGGUCAGCCUCCUCCGAAGCUUCAUCUCUUGCCACCACUUUCUGGUGCACACCUAGGACAGAUUUCAAUCCCUGAGAUCCCAGGAUGAAACCUAUGUUUGCCAAAUACCAGCUACUGUGCCAGAAGAGAUCAUGGAACCAGGUGUGGAAACCUGCUUGAGAAGAGGAGCCAAAACAUCAUAGUUGAACCGUCCUGGAAUAGAAUGCGUAUGAGAGUUCCAGUUCCUCUGCUUCCUCACCAACAGUUGACUCACCCUGAAUUCUUUCUUGUGUGAAAUCCAAGAGCCCUCUCUUGGGGUUGGAUCAGGACCCUGUUCCUGUAAGAAGUCCACAAUGCCAGAGAAUUAAAGAGAACCACAAAGUUUUUCCAAAACACAUGUGAGCAGCCGAAUAGAAGAGAUGCAUAGGAUGAGGUAUGGGAGAAGGGGAGCAGAACUGCCACGGCCUCUCUGUCACGCCCCACUUCAGGAACCUUCAUGGGUUCAGCUACCUGGAAGCUCCCUGAAAUUGCUCUUGUAAGGUACAUUUGCUCCUUUUUCCCCUCCCUUUGGAGAGUGCUCACCAGUUACUCCAGGUGAUACUAUUAGUACAUCCAUCGUGUGCCACCUUUUCCACCAGAGGCAAGCAUGUGGCGGACUUUUCAAAGGGAUUACCUUAUCCCCCACUAGGCCAAGUACUGGGCCCAAGGAGGCACAUGACCCAAACAAGGUCCACCGGAGUUCUUUAUGAUAAACAGAUAUGGAAGCUGAAAACGAAGUCAAACUGACUUAGACAAAAAGUGGACUUUAGUGGUUCAUGUGACAUACAAGUCAAGGAGAUGUAGCAUUGGGCAUGGCUAGAGUCAAGGACUCAGUCAAAGGCAUGACAAACCAGGGUGUCUCCACGUACCUUUUCUCUUCUGCUAACUCCCUCAGCCCUACCCACCAGGGGAGAAAUUUACCACUGAAAGGUCCAGGUUUACAUCCUAAUCUUCUAAGUGAAAAACUUCCCAAUGGUUCUAACAAAAGUCCCAGAAUUGAGCCUCACUGUCACCUACAUAUUUCCAUGCUAAUCACUGCAGCUACCAGGAGGAAGGCACUGCUGGCAGGCCCGGGUAUGUGCCUAAAGUAGGUGUGGAGGUAAGUUGGCAGCUCGGCCAGCACCACAGGAGCUGAGAGAGGGAAGACGCACAACCCCAAAGGAAAAUGGGGGAAGAGAUGCUGGCGAGGCAAAUAAACAUGAUGCCCACUGCACAAGCUCUUCUCUCUCCAGUCUGUAUUGCAAGGCCGCUCACUUCCAUGGCCCCUUUAGAGUCCCACACUUGAUUUUUUAUCCGUUGUUUUUUAUUUUAUUUUUUUUAUCUCAAGGAGGGUUCCUAAACUUGUAAAAGCUUCAGAUCCCUCAAAAUCUGAAGCUAUCCUACAAGAGAGUCACCCAGAAUAUCUACCUCCCUCUUCUCAAUUUAGGAACCAAGUGUUGUCAGUUGCUCAACUACAUUGCCUUUCGUCCACUCCCAACAGCUUGAAACUGAGGUUCUUAUUGCCACAAAAUGGCAUCCUGCCCCUAGCCUUUUUCUCCUGAUUCAUCUCCAAAGCCUUACAGCAGGGCAGUUCCUUUAAAAAUUAAAAACACUAUUACCAUAUACCUCUAGGAAAUAUACCCAACCUAAUUGAAAGCAGGGUCUGAAAGAAAUGCUUGUAUACCUUUUUCCACCAAGAUGUGGAAGCAACCUGUGUCCAUCAGUGGGUGAAUGAGAAAACUAGAAGUGGUAUAUACAUGCAAUGGAAUAUUAUUUCCUUAAAAAGGAAAAAAUGCUGACAUAUACUGUAACAAAGAUGAACGCUGAGAACAUUAUGCUAACUGAAAUAAACCAGUCACAACAGGAUAAAUACGGUGUGAUUCCAUUCUACUAUACUAUAUGGUAUUCCGAAUACUGCACGAUUCAGCUAGAGGAUGAAGAGACCAGGUAGUGGGGAGUUACCAUUUAAUAGCUAUAGAGCUUCAGUUUUGCAAGAUGAAAAAAGUUCUAUGGAUGGAUGGGUGGUGAUGGUAGCACAACAGUGUGAAUAUACUUAAUGCCACUGAACUGUUCACUGAAAAAUGGUUAAGAUAAUAAUUUUUAUGUGUAUUUCACCGCACUUUUUAAAAAUCUGAUGCCUCAAUAGCUUUUCUAAAUAUGCAUAACU